UACGUAGGGGGCUAGCGUUGUCCGGAAUCAUUGGGCGUAAAGCGCGUGUAGGCGGUCCGGUAAGUCCGCUGUGAAAGUCGGGGGCUCAACCCUCGAAUGCCGGUGGAUACUGUCGGGCUAGAGUGCGGAAGAGGCGAGUGGAAUUCCUGGUGUAGCGGUGAAAUGCGCAGAUAUCAGGAGGAACACCUAUUGCGAAGGCAGCUCGCUGGGACGUAACUGACGCUGAGACGCUAAAGCGUGGGGAGCAAACAGG
rnacentral:rRNA from 1 species